AGAAUCAACGCUGGCGGCGUGCCUAACACAUGCAAGUCGAACGAGAAAGUGGAGCAAUCCAUGAGUAAAGUGGCGCACGGGUGAGUAACACGUGACUAACCUACCCUUGAGUGGGGAAUAACUGAGGGAAACCUUAGCUAAUACCGCAUAACACCUACGGGUCAAAGGAGCAAUUCGCUUAAGGAGGGGGUCGCGGCAGAUUAGUUAGUUGGCGGGGUAAUGGCCCACCAAGACAGUGAUCUGUA
rnacentral:rRNA from 1 species